ACAGCAGUAAAUUUUACAUUAAAAAUGCACUAAAACCACCAAAACGCUUCACACAUGUCGCAAAUCCAGUCAUUCUUCCAUAACACUAGCAAAGGUAUAAUAGAUGAACAAACAUGCUUUGUCACUCUUGUCACAACUAUUUUACAAUGUUUUCUUUUGUAAAAAUGUAUUCACAAAACAAGAAUGACAAAUCUCUACUGCUUAGAAUUUAUUGCAUAAUAUGUUGCAUGGUCCAUGUGUAGGGAUCACAUGUUCCUACAUCAAAUUCUUUUGAUAGCAUUUAUUUUUUUAGAUUUGAAAUAUAUUACACUAUGGUAUUACUGUGCAAAUGUUGCAAACUGUUGUCUUGUUCAAUUUUGUUCUAUGUUAACUUUAACAGUUUGGUGGUUGUGUUUGAGUGAGAAAAAGAAUUUAUGCAAUUUGAAAGAUGAUAAUGAUAAAUGAUCCCCAUUUUAGCCCACAAAGACUGCUGUUGUGCUCAAUGUCUGAAGAGUUUUAAAAAAGUGACCUAAGUAUUGAGAAAUGGAUCGCGAUUGUAAACAAAAUUGUAAUAACCACCGCUUAGAGGCUACACCGCAGGUCCAAUGCAGAAGUGUAAUGGGCCGUUUCUGUGCAUUGAGAGCAAAAAAAGGGAGAUCUGCUACAGAGCUAAAGGAA